rnacentral:rRNA from 1 species
UACGUAGGGUGCGAGCGUUAAUCGGAAUUACUGGGCGUAAAGCGUGCGCAGGCGGUUUUGUAAGGUCGGAUGUGAAAUCCCCGGGCUCAACCUGGGAACUGCGUUCGAAACUGCAAGGCUAGAGUGUGUCAGAGGGGGGUAGAAUUCCACGUGAUAGCAGUGAAAUGACGUAGAGAUGUGGAGGAAUACCAAUGGCGAAGGCAGCCCCCUGGGAUAAUAUUGACG